UACGUAGGGGGCAAGCGUUGUCCGGAUUUACUGGGCGUAAAGAGCGUGUAGGCGGCCAAACAGGUCCGUUGUGAAAACUGGAGGCUCAACCUCCAGACGUCGACGGAAACCGUAUGGCUAGAGUCCGGAAGAGGAGAGUGGAAUUCCUGGUGUAGCGGUGAAAUGCGCAGAUAUCAGGAAGAACACCUAUGGCGAAGGCAGCUCUCUGGGACGGUACUGACGCUGAGACGCGAAAGCGUGGGGAGCGAACAGG
rnacentral:rRNA from 1 species